GCCGGAGUAGCUCAGUCGGUAGAGCAACUGAUUCGUAAUCAGUAGGUCGGAGGUUCGAUUCCUCUCUUCGGCA
rnacentral:tRNA from 1 species